rnacentral:rRNA from 1 species
GUGCCAGCGGCCGCGGUAAGACGAACCACACGAACGUUAUUCGGAAUCACUGGGCUUAAAGGGUGCGUAGGCGGCGCGGAAAGUAGGGUGUGAAAUCCCUCGGCUCAACCGAGGAAUAGCGCCCUAAACUACCGUGCUCGAGGGAGAUAGGGGUGAGCGGAACUUAGGGUGGAGCGGUGAAAUGCGUUGAUAUCCUAAGGAACACCGGUGGCGAAAGCGGCUCACUGGAUCUCUUCUGACGCUGAGGCACGAAAGCUAGGGUAGCGAACGGGAUUAGAUACCCCCGUAGUCC